CCGGAGCCAGUCCCGGUGUCGGUGCCGGUGUAACUCCCAGUGUAGCGCCCAGUGUAGCUCCCGGUCCCGGUACUGGUGUCACUCCCGGUGUUGGUCCCAGUGUCAGUCCCGCUCCCGGUGCCGCUCUCGGUGUCACUCCCGGUGUCACUCCCGAUGUCCCUCCCGAUCCCGGUGCCAGUCCCAUUCCCAGUCCUGUCCCGGUGUUGGUCCCGGUGUCGGUCCUGGUGUCAGUGCCAGUUCCGGUCCUGCUGUCAGGUCGGUCCCGGUGUCAGGUCGGUCCUGGUGCCAGUCCCGAUCCUGGUGUCGGUGCCGGUCCCGGUCCCGGUGUCAGGUCGGUCCCGGUGUCAUUGGAGUCCCGGUCCCAGUGCCAGUCCCGGUCCCGGUGUCAUUAGAGUCCCGAUCCCGGUGUCAGUCCCAGUCCCGGUGUCGGUCCCGAUCCUGGUGUCGGUGCCGGUCCUGGUCCCAGUGCCAGUCCCAGUCCCGGUGUCAUUGGACUCCCGGUGCCAGUCCCAGUCCCGGUGCCAGUCCCAGUCCCGGUGCCAGUCCCAGUCCCGGUGCCAGGUCGGUCCCGGUGCCAGUCCCGGUCCCGGUGCCGGUCCCGGUCCCGGUGCCAGUCCCGAUCCUGGUGUCAGUCCCGGUCCCAGUGUCAGGUCGGUCCCGGUGUCAGGUCGGUCCCGGGGUCAUUGGAGUCCCGGUCCCAGUGCCGGUCCCGGUCCCGGGGCCAGCCCCGGUCCCGGUGUCAGUGCCGGUCCCGAUGUCAGGUCGGUCCCGGUGUCAUUGGAGUCCCGGUGCCAGUCCCGAUCCCGGUGCCGGUCCCGGUCCCGGUGUCAGUGCCGGUCCCGGUCCCGGUGCCGGUUCCAGUCCCGGUGUCAGGUUGGUCCCAGUGUCAUUGGAGUCCCGGUCCCGGUUUCAGGUCGGUCCCGGUGUCAGUCCCGAUCCCGGUGUCAGUCACAGUCCCAGUGCCAGUCCCGGUCCCGGUAUCAGGUCGGUCCCGGUGCCAGUCCCGGUGUCGGUGCCAGUCCCGGUCCCGGUGCCAGUCCCGGUCCCGGUGCCGCUCCCGGCACUUCUUUGCGCCCCGGGGAUCGGGAUCGGGAAGGGCUCCGUCCGUGGGAAGGGAAAUUUUGGGUGUCGGGACUGAAAAAUGAAACGGGAGCGAAGCUGCCGGGGGGAGUUCAAAAAGUGAAAGUGGGAAUAAGCAAAAUAAAAAUGAAAUAACAGCUUUAAAAAUUAAUUUAAUUUUUAAAAAUAAAUUUAAAGAAAAAAUUAAAAUUAA
rnacentral:lncRNA from 1 species